CAUCGGCGCUACGACUCAGUUAUUGCGGACUCCAGACGAUUGGCAGGCCCGUCUGAGGCGCUUCCCUCCUCUCGGUGACGGGGUCCAGCCUCCCGAAGCUAUGAGGAACGCCUGGCGGCAGAGGACACUCUAGUCCAGUCAGGAGUCUGUACUGCACCGAGCUCUGCAGUUACCACGGCAAUCUGUCAGUAUGGGAAGAGCCAGAGAAAAUCUAUGUCAAGAGUUUUUCAAGUACGAAAAGAUUGAAGAUAAAAGCAUCUGUAAAGUUUGCAACACAGACAUGGUUGGAGAGCAUGCAGCAAGUUUAGAGCGGCACCUGAAGCGUCCCCAUUCCGAGGAUGACGAUGCAGUGCAAAGCAAGAAGACAAGGACGGUUGAGCAAAGAGUCGGGCGUGCUCCACGUUAGACGGAGUUGCCGUUUCAGAAUGCCUUAAGGUCCUGGCUGGCAGAUCCAACCGGAUGUUCCACGCAAGCAUGCCAUCCCCACCAGGCCCCCUUCACCUGUCCCCCGUGGACCCCACAGCCACCCUGGAGGAGCUCGAGGCUGCACGGCUCAGCUUCCGCACCUUCCGCUACCAGGAGGCAGCAGGGCCCCUCGAGGCCCUGGUCCGGCUGCGGGAGCUGUGCCGGCAGUGGCUGCGGCCCGAGGUGCACUCCAAGGAGCAGAUGCUGGAGCUGCUGGUGCUGGAACAGUUCCUGGGUGCUCUGCCCCCCGAGAUCCAGGCCUGGGUGCGGGAGCAGCAGCCAGGCAGCCCUGAGGAGGCCGUGGCCCUCGUCGAAGGGCUGCAGCAUGACCCCAGGCGGCUGCUGGGCUGGAUCACAGCUCAUGUUCUGGGGCGAGAGGUGCUCCCAGCAGCCCAGAAGACUGAGGGGUCCUCAGGGCCCCUCCUCCCCUCGGGGGCAGCGGAGACCUCGGGGACAGCCCCUGUGGAGGGGCCACAGCUUGCCCAGAUGGACAGUCCUGCCCAGCUCAGCUGCAGCGUGAAGGAAGAGCCAGAUGCUGAUGGACAGGAGAUGGUUCCCCUGGGUCCUCUGAUGCCAGCCCAGUCCCUGGAGAGGCGCCUUGAUCAUCAGAAGCCAGCCUCUGCAUCCUUCCUACCUGCCAGGAUUCAGGAGGACUGGGGGCUGCUGGACCCAUCGCAGAAGGAGCUGUACUGGGAGGCGAUGCUUGAGAAGUAUGGGAAGGUGGUCUCCCUGGGGAUGCCACCACCCAGGCCAGAGUUACAGACUGAGGCCCAGCCGGAGCUUCCGCAGGGGUGGCAUGGAGGCGGCCCAGGACUUCUCCCAGGAGAUGAAGGGGGGAGCCCCCAGGAGGCACCGCCCUGCUGCGAAGAAACCCAGCUCUUUCAGGCGCCCGGCGUGCUGGCCCCGGCAGCGUCCCCUGGCUCGGGGCCGGCAGCGCAGCGCAGGAAGCCCUACACGUGUGAGCAAUGCGGCCGGACCUUCGCCUGGAAGUCUGUGUUCAUCAUCCACCAGCGCAUGCACACAGGCGGGCAGUUGGCCACGGGGGCUGCUGUGGGGCCGCUCCUGAGCCCCCGAGAGCCACCUCGGUGCCUACCUGUGGGGCCCCACAUCUUCCCAUGUGAGGAGUGCGGGCGCAGCUUCAGCUGGAAGUCGCAGCUGGUCAUCCAUCGGAAGAGCCACGUCGGCCAGCUGCGCCACAUUUGUGGGGACUGUGGCCGAGGCUUUGACUGGAAGUCCCAGCUGGUCAUCCACAGGAAGAGCCACCGGCCUGAGGCCCCAUGAGCCGAUGGAGAAGGCCCUGGACAGCCCCCAGCCUGACUCAGCUUCUCGGCCUAGGGCCAGGGGACUCUAGAGAUAGCAGAGUGAACCAAGGGUCCUGGGGGUCCCUGCCCCAGGCCCUAUCGAACCUAAGGAAAGGAAGCCUCCCCCCAGCUUUUGGAAUGGGCCUGAGUGUGAAUCCACUGCUAACUGGUGGCCCUAGGGUAUCCUGAGUGCCAGCCCCCGCAGUGGGAGCCCCGCCAGAUCAAGCCCAGGACUCUCAGAACGGGCCUUCCUGGUCCCCCAGGAAGUGGUUGGACUUGGACCUGUCUCAGAGGCAGCGUCAGUGCCUCUCUGGAGAAGAGGAAGCCCAGGGUGGCUUCUGCCGGCUGGGGGCCACAGGCUGCUGGGGGUCACUGUGGUCCUCAUGGCCCCCAGGGCAUUUUAGAUUUUUGUAGUUCCCCCAUCUGCUUUUAAAACCAGGAGCUUCUGGGUGAACAUCUUAGCUUCUGACUUCUCCUGGGCAAUCAGAAGACCUGGCAGCUGGGGCUCUGGGACAGCUUUGUCCAGAUCCCCCCCAACACACACACACACACACUCCCCUCCCCCUCCCCCUCCUAAUGCCUUGUUCUGCUGAGGAGGACAACUGGAGAGUCCCCCUCCAGGUGUGGGGUGAACAAGAAUGACGACCAAGAGAAGGGGCUCAGAGCAUGAAGGGAGCUAUCGGCCAGGCUUGGAUGAGGCUCUCAGCGCCACAUGCCCACAGCCCACGUGAUCAUCCAGGACCGUGUCCCCCUCCCAGGAGCCUUAGUCACAUUGCAAAUUCCCUUCUACCACGUGAGUUAAUACACAUUAAAGAUGCUUAACAUGUUUUGUGUCAACAUAGCUAGACUGAGAUUCUCGGUGACCGGACCGAUGCUGGACCCGUAGCUCUUCGGAAGUAACACAGUUACCUCCAUGACGAGAUCUCACACUAUGCUGCACCUCCAGUCGGGCCAAAGGAGGCUUUCCUGGGGCUGGGGCCUGUCCUCAAGUUCCAGCCGCGCUUUGUCUUAUUCUGAAGACUGAACUUACUGCUUCUCAAUUGAACUUUGGUUUGGAGACAUGAGCCAGCUGCCUGCCUUCUGACCUGCUGGUUUUGAAUUUGUCAGCUCCUUCAACCACGUCCAUCAGGAGAAACGUGCAACUCGGUGCCUUGCCCGGCUGCCACAUGCAGGACCCCUGGAGGAUGGUGGGGAGUGCACCAACUUCGCCUUUGCUGCCAGGUUCCAGCAUGGGUCCCUCAGCUGGCAGUGGGCAGACCUAAGGGGCACCAAGGAGAAGCAGGAAUGAUAGACUGUUGUCUUUGCACGAAUCUCCUCCACCAGGGUCCCUGUGGAGAACACAGCCUGAAGGCCUACUAUGUGAAGGGGAAGAAGGCUAGACUGCAGGGGACCCUGACCCAAGUUCUAUCAGAACUUUAUCAGGAAGGGCUUUUCAAACACCUUUGGUGGGGAGAAAAAAGAAAAGCAAAUGGUAACAGUAAUCACAGGAAUUUUUUUCUAUAAAGAUUUUUUUUAAAAGCAAUUCAUUGCCAUAGUUCCGAUUCAAAGUGACCCUGUAGGGCAGAGUAGAACACCCCAUGGUUCUGGCUGUGAUUUUCAUGGAAGUAGAUUACCACAAUUUUGUGCUGUGGUUCCACUGGUGACUUUCAGUUGGUGGGUCCCAAUGCCACCUCUCUUUACUAGCUAAGCUUUAUAAGCGCGGUGCCACCUGGGCUUCUCUGUGAAGGUUUACAGCCUUGGGAGCCCUAUGGGUAGGGUAGGGUUGCUGAGUCAGAAUGAUUUCUCCAUCAUCACUGGCCUAGCUCAGGUAUCGUCCAGCGCAGAUUCUUAUACCAGUGGCCCUGGUGGUGUCGUGGUUACUCGUUGGGCUGCGAUUGGCAUGGUCAGUCGUCUGAAAGCACCAGCCACUCUG